rnacentral:rRNA from 1 species
GAGCGGCGGACGGGUGAGUAACGCGUGGGUAACCUGCCUCGUACAGGGGGAUAACAGUUAGAAAUGACUGCUAAUACCGCAUAAGACCACAGCACCGCAUGGUGCAGGGGUAAAAACUCCGGUGGUACAGGAUGGUCCCGCGUCUGAUUAGCCAGUUGGCAGGGUAACGGCCUACCAAAGCGACGAUCAGUAGCCGGCCUGAGAGGGUGAACGGCCACAUUGGGACUGAGACACGGCCCAGACUCCUACGGGAGGCAGCAGUGGGGAAUUUUGGACAAUGGGGGAAACCCUGAUCCAGCCAUGCCGCGUGCGGGAUGAAGGCCUUCGGGUUGUAAACCGCUUUUGUCAGAGACGAAAAGGGACGCACGAAUAAUACGUUCCGCUGACGGUAUCUGAAGAAUAAGCACCGGCUAACUACGUGCCAGCAGCCGCGGUAAUACGUAGGGUGCAAGCGUUACUCGGAAUUACUGGGCGUAAAGGGUGCGCAGGCGGCUGUGCCAAGACAGAUGUGAAAUCCCCGGGCUUAACCCUGGGAACUGCAUUUGUGACUGCACGGCUAGAGUUUGUCAGAGGAGGGUGGAAUUCCGCGUGUAGCAGUGAAUGCGUAGAUAUGCGGAAGAACACCAAUGGCGAAGGC